rnacentral:rRNA from 1 species
CCCGCUGAACUUAAGCAUAUCAAUAAGCGGAGGAAAAGAAACUAACAAGGAUUCCCCUAGUAACUGCGAGUGAAGCGGGAAAAGCUCAAAUUUAAAAUCUGGCGGUCCUCUGGCUGUCCGAGUUGUAAUCUGGAGAAGCGUUUUCCGCGUCGGACCGUGUACAAGUCUUCUGGAACGGAGCGUCAUAGAGGGUGAGAGUCCCGUAUGUGAUUAGUUGUCUUUGCCAUGUGAAACUCCUUCGACGAGUCGAGUUGUUUGGGAAUGCAGCUCUAAUUGGGAGGUAAAUUUCUUCUAGAGCUAAAUACUGGCCAGAGACCGAUAGCGCACAAGUAGAGUGAUCGAAAGAUGAAAAGCACUUUGGAAAGAGAGUUAAACAGUACGUGAAAUUGCUGAAAGGGAAACGCUUGAAGUCAGUCGCGUCGCUCAGGACUCAGCCUUGCUUUUGCUUGGUGUACUUCCUGUUCGAUGGGUCAGCAUCAAUUUUGGUCGGUGGAUAAAGGCUCAGAGAAUGUGGCAUCUUCGGGUGUGUUAUAGCUCUGGGUUGUAUACAUCGGCUGGGAUUGAGGAACUCAGCACGCCGCAAGGCCGGGUACUUGUACCACGUACGUGCUUAGGAUGCUGGCAUAAUGGCUUUAAUCGACCCGUCUUGAAACACGG